rnacentral:snRNA from 1 species
UUGCUUUGGUACUAAGUAUACUAAAAUUGGAAUGAUACAAAGAUUAGCAUGGCUCCUGCAUAAGGAUGACAUGAAAAUUUGUGAAGCGAUCCAUAUUUUU